rnacentral:lncRNA from 1 species
CGAAAAAUAUUUAACCCUAUAAUGAGCCGCCUUUCAAAUUUGUAUCAACCAUAUUUUUCCUCCAUAUUUUUUUACAGUCAUUUUCAUGUAAAGACUCUUGUUAUAUAGUGUUAAGUGAGACCUGCCUUAGUGUUUGUGAGUCGGCCUUAACAUUAGUGACAUGGUGUGGAGUGAAGAUGGCAACAGACAUGGACAGUUGACAGAUAGGUCAAGGGGGCUCUUCAGAUGAAGAAGCAGCUUUUGAAAAAAAUGGCGUCGGUGUGAUUAUAGGUUUUGUCAGAAAAAUCCUAAACCAUCGCGUUAAAAUUGUUAUAAAUUAAGUAAUUAUACUGUAGAUAUAGUUAGUUAGUGAUUGAACAUUAAUUUAGUAGUUAAGUUAAAAGUUAAAACGGGAUAAUACGUUAGUAGUGAAUAAGAAAUUCUAAAAGGACCUUUCUAUUCAGGAGCUAUGAGCUUAAGCCCAGAUGUACCUCAGAUACGGCUCUUGAAUAUUCAAGUCUAUAAUAACGGAUCCUGGCCGGAUAGCCCUGGCAGCUAAGGCCAUUCACAUGAAGAGAAGAAGAAGGCUCUUCAGAUAUAAUCUUAAUGUAAUGAGUUUGUAUUCAAUAAAUAUUAAAUAAGAAAC